rnacentral:rRNA from 1 species
CACGUAGGGUGCGAGCGUUGUCCGGAAUUAUUGGGCGUAAAGGGUGCGUAGGCGGGUCUUUAAGUCAGGGGGGAAAUCCUGGAGCUCAACUCCAGAACUGCCUUUGAUACUGAGGAUCUUGAGUUCGGGAGAGGUGAGUGGAACUGCGAGUGUAGAGGUGAAAUUCGUAGAUAUUCGCAAGAACACCAGUGGCGAAGGCGGCUCACUGGCCCGAUACUGACGCUGAGGCACGAAAGCGUGGGGAGCAAACAGG